UCCGGAUUAGAUACCCUGGUAGUCCACGCCGUAAACGAUGGGUACUAGGUGCCUGGGGGAGCGACCCUCUGGGUGCCGGCGCUAACGCAGGAAGUACCCCGCCUGGGGAGUACGACCGCAAGGUUGAAACUCAAAGGAAUUGACGGGGGCCCGCACAAGCGGCGGAGCAUGUGGCUUAAUUCGACGCGACGCGAAGAACCUUACCAGGGCUUGACAUGCGGGGUGAAGCCGUGGAAACACGGUCCUCCUUCGGGAGCCCGCACAGGUGCUGCAUGGCUGUCGUCAGCCCGUGCCGUGAGGUGUUGCCUUAAGUGGCGCAACGAGCGCAACCCCUAUCCCAUGUUGCCAGCGAGUUAUGUCGGGGACUCAUGGGAGACUGCCGGUGCCAAACCGGAGGAAG
rnacentral:misc_RNA from 1 species